CCCCUCUCAGGUUUGCACCUGGAGAGUGUCCAGUCCUCUACCAGUCUUGGCUAUGGGAGGGAAAGUCAAGCAGAGGCCUGUCCAUUCCUUUCCUAGCUUGGCCAAUGGCUAGCGACUGGAAGGCGAUCUGCUACAAGU
rnacentral:snoRNA from 1 species